GUGUGGGGAAGUGCUGCAUGCUGUCUGGUGUUGGUUUGAAUUAUUUUCAUUUCUUUAACUGUUAAGUACUUGAAUCAUUCAUUUUAUAUUUGUUGUCUGAAGCUCAACUUGAAAGUUUUGUUUUUCUUUGUAAAUCUUUCAUUGGAAUUUGUUUUCACAAAUCUAACUGUCAUCAGUUUACUGAUGUUCUUUUGCUCUGUAGGUUUACAUAGUCAGAUGUAUGAGCUAAUUAAUGCGUUGCCCUUUGGUGUGCAGUUCAUGUUAGGGUGGCUUUGUUGCAGCCAGCCAGUGGAAGGAAGUUCAAGUUGAGCUGUAGCUUGUUGUAGCAGGCAACAAUGCUUGUGUUAUUCUGAAAUGUAAUAUCAAUGAAAACAUCUUGAAUAGGACUUGGUGGCAAUAUGAUCAUCAAUCUGCUUAAUGCAAUUAUGGUUAACAAGAAGUGGAGUAGUAAGACUAGAAGAAGAGUUGCAAGAAAAAGAAAUGGUCUCGGCGUAAUUGUGCAGUCGUUUUGCAGUCUGCCUCCCGUUGAAGCUGUUGCUAUCCUGAAGUUGUGAUGCUGGUGUUACCCCAAAGCUGAUGUUGGUGUUAUCAAGUUACUGUGCCAGUUCGAUUUGGGUUGAGUAAUAUCAUAUCGAUGUAGAAUGUGAUUGUAGUGACCUUAAGCUAUUUUGUUAUCAAAUGGUUGGUUGUUGCCAAUUGUUAUGGUAUGUCGCAAUCUGAUGUUAGUUUAGACACUCCUGAUAUUUAUCUCACCCAUAUGUAUUUUAAAUAUUUCUGUAGAGUUCUCAGAAGUUAAUUUGCAAUAUUUCGCUGUGCGUUGAAAAUUUAUACUUUAUGUAUAAAUCACGAUAUGUAAAUGUUUGAACAAAUAAAAAUACAAUCA